GUGCAGGUUUGUUACAUAGGUAAACGUGUGUCAUGGUGGCUUGCCGCACAGAUCAUCCAAUCACCUAGGAAUUAAGCUCAGCAUUCAUUAGCUAUUCUUCCUGAUGGUCUUCCUCCUCCUACCCCCACCCUCCGAAAGGCCCCAGUGUGUGUUCCCCUGACAAUGUGUUCAUUUGUUCUCAUCAUUCAGCUCCCACGUAUAAGUGAGAACAUGUGUCAGGUUUGUCAAAGAUCAGAUG
rnacentral:lncRNA from 1 species